rnacentral:rRNA from 1 species
AUUGAACGCUGGCGGCAGGCCUAACACAUGCAAGUCGAGCGGUAGCACAGAGAGCUUGCUCUCGGGUGACGAGCGGCGGACGGGUGAGUAAUGUCUGGGAAACUGCCUGAUGGAGGGGGAUAACUACUGGAAACGGUAGCUAAUACCGCAUAACGUCGCAAGACCAAAGUGGGGGACCUUCGGGCCUCAUGCCAUCAGAUGUGCCCAGAUGGGAUUAGCUUGUAGGUGAGGUAACGGCUCACCUAGGCGACGAUCCCUAGCUGGUCUGAGAGGAUGACCAGCCACACUGGAACUGAGACACGGUCCAGACUCCUACGGGAGGCAGCAGUGGGGAGUAUUGCACAAUGGGCGCAAGCCUGAUGCAGCCAUGCCGCGUGUGUGAAGAAGGCCUUCGGGUUGUAAAGCACUUUCAGCGGGGAGGAAGGCGAUAAGGUUAAUAACCUUGUCGAUUGACGUUACCCGCAGAAGAAGCACCGGCUAACUCCGUGCCAGCCGCCGCAGUAAAAC